GUUUUAAUAGUUUAAUAAAAACAUUGGUCUUGUAAAUCAAAAAUAAAAAUCUCUUUUUUAAAACU
rnacentral:tRNA from 1 species